rfam:Solanum lycopersicum cultivar Heinz 1706 chromosome 1, whole genome shotgun sequence.
GGCAAUUGCAAUGAUGUUUACCUUAAUCCCAGCUCUAUGAGACCUUGGUCUUGGAUUAAACUUGGUUUCCAACAUAUAUAUAACUGAGCUUUGCC